UGAGUAACCUGCCCUUAACUCUGGGAUAAGCCUGGGAAACUGGGUCUAAUACCGGAUAUGACUCCUCAUCGCAUGGGUGGGGGGUGGAAAGCUUUAUUGUGGUUUUGGAUGGACUCGCGGCCUAUCAGCUUGUUGGUGAGGUAAUGGCUCACCAAGGCGACGACGGGUAGCCGGCUGAGAGGGUGACCGGCCACACGUGGGACUGAGACACGGCCCAGAUUCCGACGGGAGCAG
rnacentral:rRNA from 1 species